rnacentral:rRNA from 1 species
UACGAAGGGUGCAAGCGUUACUCGGAAUUACUGGGCGUAAAGCGUGCGUAGGUGGUGGUUUAAGUCUGUUGUGAAAGCCCUGGGCUCAACCUGGGAAUUGCAGUGGAUACUGGGUCACUAGAGUGUGGUAGAGGGUAGCGGAAUUCCCGGUGUAGCAGUGAAAUGCGUAGAGAUCGGGAGGAACAUCCGUGGCGAAGGCGGCUACCUGGACCAACACUGACACUGAGGCACGAAAGCGUGGGGAGCAAAC